rnacentral:rRNA from 1 species
ACGUUAGCGGCGGACGGGUGAGUAACACGUGGGUAACCUACCUAUAAGACUGGGAUAACUUCGGGAAACCGGAGCUAAUACCGGAUAAUAUUUCGAACCGCAUGGUUCGAUAGUGAAAGAUGGUUUUGCUAUCACUUAUAGAUGGACCUGCGCCGUAUUAGCUAGUUGGUAAGGUAACGGCUUACCAAGGCGACGAUACGUAGCCGACCUGAGAGGGUGAUCGGCCACACUGGAACUGAGACACGGUCCAGAAUCCUACGGGAGGCAGCAGCC